rnacentral:rRNA from 1 species
ACACGCAUGACACACUGCAUAUCAAUAAGCGGAGGAAAAGAAACUAACAAGGAUUCCCUUAGUAACGGCGAGUGAAGCGGGAAGAGCUCAAAUUUGAAAUCUUCAAGGUUCUACCUUGACGAAUUGUAGUUUAUAAGAAGUGUUUUCUGUUAGUAGGAGUGGCAGAAGUUCUUUGGAAUAGGACAUCAUAGAGGGUGAGAAUCCCGUAUUUGGUCAUUCUUCUAGCUUUGUGAUACACUUUCAACGAGUCGGAUUGUUUGGGAAUGCAGUCCAAAAUGGGUGGUAAAUUUCAUCUAAAGCUAAAUACUGGCGAGAGACCGAUAGCGAACAAGUACCGUGAGGGAAAGAUGAAAAGAACUUUGAAAAGAGAGUUAAACAGUACGUGAAAUUGUCAAAAGGGAAGCGUUUGACACCAGUGUUGUUUUCUCGAAAAUCAAUUAAAAAUGGUGGGAUGUUGUGUUGUAUUGACUUUAUCAGCUUUCUGCACUUUUUUUCCUAUCUUUUUUAAUGCACUUUUCGUUUAACAAGUCAACAUCAAUUUCUUUUGUUGUAAAAGAGUCAUUGGAAGGUGGCUUUCUUUUCGGAGAAAGUGUUUAUAGCCUUUGGCUUCUGCAAUCGGAGAGAUUGAGGUCUGCAGCGUAGAUCCUUCGGGGUUAGAUACAUUUGUGCUAAGUUAUAGCCUUUCAUAGACAACUUGUUGACUAUGAUCAGUCAUGUAGCUUACUCGCUUAUGUCAUUUUACCUACGCUUAGGAUGUUGACGCAUGAGAUAUACGC